rnacentral:lncRNA from 1 species
UCAUAUAAGGUAAAAAGAAAAAGGUUUUCCAGCUUCUAAGCAGCCUGGAAGGAGUUUUUCACCGAGGGCUCCCAUGCCAGCCGCUUAAAAAACCCCGGCUGGCAGCGCCGGGGUCCCAGUGGCAGGUUAUAAUGUGCCGGGAGGAGGUGGCGGGCAUGUGCCCAUGUCCCCACGGUGUCCCGCUGCAGGUGUGGGGCGGCAGGAUCAGCCGUGGGAGUCCCCGGGGACAUCGAAGCUGCUGAAGGCACAUGACGACUGUACAGCCCCAGGAACUUGGCCAGCAAGGAGAGACGGGCAGAGCUGGCAUGUCACCACGCUGCCAGCGUGGGCACCACCGCGGGCCCUUUCCCUGGGCACAGGCAGCCGCACGCUGCGGGCAAACCCGCCCCUGUUCCCCACUGCCCAGCAAAGCGGGGGGCUGCCCCCUGGGGCUGGGUCCCAGGGCAUUCUGCAGUGCUGCACAUCGCUCCUGGCUGCAAGCACGGCGUCCCCUUCCUGGGGGUGUGCGUGGGGCCGGGGCACUGCCCAGCAGGGCCAGCAGUGGGGCAGAGGCUCUGCAAAGGCAGAGAGGGUCCCUGCGGCACCUCCCCUGGCUCUGAGUCCCCGUGGCUAUUCCCACACUUGGCCGGAGCUCGGGGCUGGCCCGGCCGUGGCUGCUAUGGAGACAACCCCGCGCUGGCCAAGGCUGCUCCCAAACCUCCUUCCCGACUGAUGGAUUCCGCAAGCCUGGGGCACCACGGGGCUCUUUUCCCCACUCUUUCUUACCGAGAACCGGGGGCAGCGGAAGGGGGAGCCCGGCACAUCGCACGGGGUGGGUUCUGCCCCAGUUCCCAGCUGGGCGCACCCGGCCGGGGGGGGGGCCGGUGCCGGAUGCAGGGGCUCAUGCCGGAGAUGCACCAUCUGCUUCUCGUCAGGCUGCUGGGAGCGCCGCGGCUGCCGGGGCCCGGCAGCGGGACACGGUUGUGAUAGAUCGUCUGUUUAUCACGUUUCGGCUCUGCUCAGGAUGUUAGUGUUCGCCUGCGAAAGACAUUCUUGGGCUUGGCUGCUCCCUCCAUCCUCCCUCUCCUCCUGUUUCUCCUCGGAUCCUCGCCCUCGCAUCUGGAUGGGCUGAAGCCCGUCCAGACUCUAGGAUGAAGGUCCAGGGGUCAUCCCUCCUGCAGCCUCUGGUCCUCGCCCAUGGGAAGGGGUGGGCUCGGUCCUGCUGCCCUGGGAACAGAUCAGGCCAAUGUCUGAGCUUCGGAAGCUGAGGCUGAAGCCUUCCCAAGGGUACUGGCUGACUGCAGGCUCUCCUCUGAUGGAGACUGGGACAGGGACAAGGGUGGGGAGGGACAGCAGGACCUUUCAUACACUCCUCAUCCUCCAGGGCAGGGAAGGGACAGAGGGCAGGGAUGGAUGAUACCCACAGCCCCACACCAUCCUAGAGUCCCCUGGCCCCACUGAGUGACAGCCCCGGGGAGGAGGCUCCACACCAGCUCUUGGGAGGGGGGGAGCUACACAGAUUUGGAGGUAAAACUUCCCCCACCUGUCCCUACCCCGUCUGUCCCUGCAGAGCUGGGGCCAGGCGGAGCUACCAAACACAGGUCUAUCUGCCGUUGUGUUGGGGCUGGGGACAAGGGAUACACACGGCUCUGGAGGUGGGGAGACCUCUUUGCUGGCACCCAGGCGGGCAGGCAGACACACGGACACACAUCAGCUGCAGUGAGGGUGGCUGCGAGCUCCUCCAUGUCUCCCAGCCCAAGGUGCAGUGCUGCAUCUCUGGUCAAUUGGGAGUCUGAGAUGAAGCACUGUAGCUCGGGAAGGGAGGAACUGCGCACCCUGGGGACCUCUGGGACCCCCAUCCACCGGGACAAGUGACGCAAGGAGAGCUGAGCCCUGGCUAUGAGAAAGGGCUCAGCCCAAAGCUCCAGCUCCCUGCAGAGAGCAAGGGUCAGAGGAGGGUGGGGAGGUUUCUCUUUGCAGCAGAGGGACCCCUGAGUCUGCUGGGGACCCCCUGGCCUGCUGCUGGGCACCAGAGGGAAGGGUCACACAGAAAGGUGGGAGCCCAGUGCGGUGGGAGGGGACAGCAGGGACUCCCAUCAGCCACAUGCGGAGUCCAUCCGGCAGCAAGGACACCCGGGGCUGGCGGAGAGCCUGGGUCGCCGUGCCCUCAGGGUCCAGUUUUCCCAGGAAUCCCUUAGGCGCUACGUUGGGGAUUCCUGGAAAUACUGUUCUUGGGGCCACGGCUCAGCGGCUGGAGAUGGCCCAUCCCAUGAGGAGCCACAGCUUGAGGAAGAGCCAGCGACCGAGGUAUGGGGCCACGCAGGGGAGGGGGGGGCUGCGAGUGGGAGGGGGAGCCCUGUGGCUACCCUAAACACGGGGAGGUGGGUAACCCAGCCCAGGCAGCUACUCCAUGCUGGGGGGUGAGGGAUGUCCCUGUGGGUCACCGUUCACCGCAAGAGGAUGCUGCUGGUGGGCAGAUGGCCUCGCACAGCGCUCCUGUCCUUGCAUGUGCCACCUAACCACCCUGGGGUCAAUAAAGGUUUCGAUUCCUGAGUGACUGUCCUGGCU